GCGGAAGUGCCUGAUCCACACAGACGCUGCAGAGCUGGGUUGAAGUAACAUGCUGCUUCUUCCGGAAGGAGUCUGUUGAUCUCUUCCAGCACUGUGUAAGAUAUGGGGGAUCAAGCAGAUGGUCACAUAGGCCCAACCUACGUGAUGCCACUUGGGCUGAAGUGAUGCCACCUGUACUAUUCUGGCUCCCUCUUGUGCAAAGACACCAUAAGUGGCAGCAUUCUACCCACUUCAUGCACUUAUCAUUUGGGGUGGAAAAAGGCUUCAUGCAACUCUUCUGCUGCCCACUAUCCAGCAGCACAAAACAUAGCAGAGUAUAUGUAUGGUCCUAUAUUUCUAAACGUGGGUGAGAGGGGCUGUUUGUUGUAGCCGUGUUGUUCUAAGGACAUAGGCAGACAUAGGCACUUUGGGUAUAAGUGAUAUCUUUUAUUAGACCAACUAAAUCAUUGGAAAAUUGUUCUUUGCAAGCUUUCAGGCACAAACACCCUUCUUCAGGGAUAGAGAGAGUCUGGUGGUGUUUUGGGUGCUCUCCUGGGUAGACUAGAAGCCAAAAUGCAAAAUGCAGGUCUGUGAAAAUGCAAAUGUGUGGCAGUGAUGAUCAGAGGGAAUAGGAGACAAUAGGUGUGAGAUAGGUAGGUAGGUAGGUAGGUAGGUAGGUAAAUGUAGAUGAGUAAUUUAUGAAAACCUCUGAGUCUGCCUGUAACUAGAACUAGAACUAAAAGUCCCAGGCUCACCUGCACUGGGACAUUUUGCAUCAUUUUGAAUCUUUAACUAGUACCUUAGCUACUAUAGCUGCAUCAAUGCCAUCCCCUAGAUAUUUUGCCCCCAUGUAAUCUGAGUUGCAACAGUGCAGCAAGCCACAUCAGGAUAACUACCUUGAUGCCAAAAAAGCCAGCAAAGAGAAGGCAUAAUUUUCCAGAUACCCAUUAUUAUGUGAGCCAAAUGCAGGUGUCUUAACUUCUCCUGAGACAGAUGCUCUAAUUUCAGGACAAGUAACCUCAGAACAAUUUAUGGGGCUAAUCACCUUGCUUUCAUAGGCCAUAUAGUCCUCAUGAGCACAUACGUUGUGAUACUGCAUUCACCUGUGAAUUUAAGUCAUUUGUAGUUUGCUUCUGCAAUUGCAUAUGCCCAGGAUAGCUCAGUGCUGAAUGAACAGUCAAGUGUUCAGGGACACAAAUAAUAUCCAUCUCAGAGGAAUAAAUUAGGAAGGGAGGGGGGAAGUUGCUUAUGUUGCAUAUGUUGCCUUUCUUAACUGCAGAGCUAACAAGAAACUGCCACCAAUAUGCAAGCAAUAGAAUCAGAUAGGGUGGAAAUGGAAAAUACCUAUUACAUCAUGCAGUCUAUCUCCCUGCCGGUGCAAGUGGGUUCCCUUCUAUGUGACAUUCUUUUUUUAAAUAUCCUUUUUACCUAAAGAAUAUGGUAUGAUAUAUUGCAAGAGGACAGUGACUCAUCAACCCUGGACCAGAAGUACAAUCCUUUACCAUAGCAACUAGUUAAACAAUUGUGAUAUAAAUAUACCAUUUCAAUUAUACUGGAGUUUGAUGUAGCCAGAGAUUUAGGAGACUAGUUGAGAUCCAAAUUACUGCCAAGAGGUUUAUUUUUCCCUUUGCAACUCAGACAGCAUUUCCUUUUAGUCAUAUCAUACUGUUCUUUCCACCAGAUGGUUUGCUAGCUCUUAUUCCAGCUAAAUAGGAUUUAACCAGAUUUAGUUAAUCCCCAUAGUGGCCAUCAACUAAACGUUAACAGUCUGACACUGAUCAAGUCCUCUGGGAUUGCUCCCCCCAUCCUCUCCCUCAAGAUGCCUUUUUUUACAUUUAUGAUCUUUCCAUGGUAGACAGCAGAGAACCAUUGCGUCCCACUUCACCAAUAGGGUUUCAGGGUGCCUACCAGGUUUCUGGAUGAAUGAUAUAGCAAGGUAUUUUUAAGGCACAAAUAUGAAUGCUCAGAAAAGCUUUCCCUACCAUAAAAUGAAACAAGAAUUUAAAUGACUGUGUAAACUGGAUUCUGAUCUGCAUGUAUAUAUUUUGUAAAUAAGUUCUCUCUUGUUCUUUUUUGUUGUAUUCAGUACUCAUCCCGUUUUCUUUCUUUUUAAUGUGUU